GCCAUAUAUAUUAUUUUAUUUUUGUGUGUUUCAUCCUUUUGUCUAUAUUGUGGGAGAUAAGAGAUGUGGAUGAUUUUAUGUGUUGCUUUAUUUUUGCAGCCACAAUGCAUCAGAAAAAGCUUGAAAAAGGGUAAAUGACAGAAGAGAGAAGUCAGAGUGCGAUCCAACUGGAGGAGAGUAGUGCAUAAGCAUAAAACCAUCAAACUUGAGGACAUAUACACUAUAUAGUUUACACUGAAUAAAUCAGGUAUCUCUGUGAUAUAGGAUAUCUUGAUGGUAUUUGGGGGUGAUUCAUAUUAAAGUGAAUCUGUUG